rnacentral:rRNA from 1 species
AAUUUUGGACUAUGGGGGACACCCUGAUCCAGCCAUCCCGCGUGUAUGAUGAAGGACUCCGUGUUGUAAAGUACUUUUGGCAGAGAAGAAAAGGUAUCUCCUAAUAGGAGAUACUGCAGACGGCAGCUGCAGAAUAAGCACCGGCUAACUACGUGCCAGCAGCCGCGGUAAUACGUAGGGUGCAAGAGUUAAUCGGAAUUACUGGGCGUAAAGCGUGUGUAGGCGGUUCGGAAAGAAAGAUGUGAAAUCCCAGGGCUCAACCUUGGAACUGCAUUUUUAACUGCCGAGCUAGAGUAUGUCAGAGGGGGGUAGAAUUCCACGUGUAGCAGUGAAAUGCGUAGAUAUGUGGAGGAAUACCGAUGGCGAAGGCAGCCCCCUGGGAUAAUACUGACGCUCAGACACGAAAGCGUGGGGAGCAAACAG